GGGGCAGUAGCUCAGCUGGGAGAGCGCAUGCAUGGCAUGCAUGAGGUCAGGGGUUCGAUCCCCCUCUGCUCCACCA
rnacentral:tRNA from 1 species